rnacentral:rRNA from 1 species
CGGGAUUCCCUGAGUAAGGGCGACUGAAAGGGGAUGAGCCCAGCGCAUAACCUCCCGGUCGUGUAUUGGCCGUGGAGGGGUGUUGCGUUUCGGUGGAUCCGUACCGCUCGAGUUGCUAACCGCCUAAGUCAUUGCUUGAAUGCAGCCCCGAGGAGGGUGGUAGGCCCGUGUGGCGGCGCCUGUAAAAAGGUUGGAGGCAAUUUGGGCGGAGGGGUCUUUACCGUAGAGUCGGGUUGCUUAGUACUGCAGCCCUAAGUAGGUGGUAAACUCCAUCUAAGGCUAAAUACUACCACGAGUCCGAUAUUUGACAAGUACCGUGAGGGAAAGCUGAAAAGGACUCUGAAGAGAGAGUUCAAGAGGACGUGAAACCAUUAGAAGCUGAAACGGGUGGAACCGUGAAGGUGGAAAGAGGGGAUUCAGGUUGUGGGUGCGCUGGCUGUUGGGAAAUUUGGCGUCUGUGAGAGGACCCUUGAUAGCAGUGAGAUUUGAGUGGCUUUUUCCCAGGAGGCUGGCGUGCCGGCGGUCUUAGUUCUCCCUCGAGUACUAGUGGUGGCGAGCCGCUGCCGGGACCCCUGUGGCCCUCGCGGACUGGUAGCCUACGCCUCUGGUGUAGGUGAUGACCGCUGGGGGUUGUCUGCGGGUUUUGGCGGCGGUUACUGCAAGGAGGCGGUUGGCGGCGGUGCCGUUUCGGCGGCGCUGCUGCUGCUGCUUCUCGCCACUUGAGAGAGAUCGGUAAUCCACCCGACCCGUCUUGAAACACGGACCAAGGAGUCCAACAUGUGCGCGAGUCUAAGGGUGGUCUAAACCCGGAGGCGAAAUGAAAGUGAGCCCCUUGUGGGCAGGCCGAUCCCCUGUCCUGGCUUGGCCGUGUCGACGGUGCCGUGAGUGAAUUUCCGGCGCUGGUUGGCUCGGUUUAGGCUGGGGCCGCCCUGCAAAGGGUGUUGCGGGGCGCAGGCCGAGGACUUGCCAUUGUGCGGCGCGGGUAACGGGUUGGCCUCGGCCUCCUUAUCCCGAUGUCCGCCGGCAAGUACCUGAGAGCGCAGCCGUUGGGACCCGAAAGAUGGUGAACUAUGCCUGGCGAGGACGAAGCCAGAGGAAACUCUGGUGGAGGUCCGAAGCAGUUCUGACGUGCAAAUCGAUUGUCAGAGCUGGGUAUAGGGGCGAAAGACUAAUCGAACCA